GUCCUGCCGCCGCCUGGCCGCCCUGGGGCGGGGUCCGGCCGCAGGCGCGCGACGGGAGGGGGCGCGGGGGUACGGAGACGGCGGCCCGAGGGGUCUCGCGAGCAGAGUCGAGCGCGACUCACCCGACGCCAAACACCAGAACCGGGGCCGCCCUGCGCGAGACCACAAACGACAGCGAAGAGCGUUAGGCUGUGGCCGGACAGUGGCGGCGCCGACACUUCCUGCCUGAAGGGGCGGAGCGGAAGGCGCACCGGAAGGCGCACCGGAAGGCGCACCGGAAGGCGCGGCGGGACCAAGUGGAACGGGGGUUUUGUUCUAGAUCGUGUUUGUGGCUGUGUUCUUCAGGAUAUUUUCCCUCACCUUGAGGAUUUCCCUCAUCUACCUUUCUUUGGGAGAUACGACUGAAACCAACAAAAGCCAAGUUUGGUAAAUAAGAAGUUUAAACAAGUGCUUCUCUGUACAGCUCAUCCACUUCCUCAUCUGUAAACCGAUCCCCCAUGGUUGUCAGCAGCUCUCUCAAGUAAUCUUCCUGUAUGGUGCCUGGAGAAUAAAGAACAAGGGAUCAGAAUACAUACUAUUCUGAGGGUUAAUUACAAAGAAUAUCUAUACUUGACUAAGCAUGUUCUGUAUGUUACAAACUAUAAACAUGCAAAUAUAUGAACUACAGGGUGUCCACCUACUUAAAACAGCCUCAGCAGAGAAGUGCCUAGAAAAAUGCCUAGCUGCUUAGCAGCACUGCUCCGCUCUAUCAUUUGCUCUAUCAUUCUGCCUCCACAUUCAGCUUCUGAUCUCUUGAUAAGAGAGACUAAACCUAUGCCUAAACAAAGUAAUAAAAAGUAUGGUUAAAGAA
rnacentral:lncRNA from 10 species